GGGAAUGUGGCUUAGUGGUAGAGUGCUUGCCUAGCAUGCAUGAAGCUUUGGGUUCGAUUCCUCAGUACCA
rfam:Dipodomys ordii contig_63797, whole genome shotgun sequence.